UUCCUCAAAUAGAUUUUCCACAAUUCUGGUUAAGCUUUUCCUAGCAUCUUGGGUUUUUAUUGCUAUUAUCACAGAUUUUCUUAUAGUUAGAUCUUAAAUCUGAUGGUUGUUUGUAUAUGUGAAAGCUAUGGAUUUCCUCCUAAUUUUAAACCAAUCUCAAGCUUACAGAGAAGUUGCAAGUAUAAUACAAAGAACUUUUAUUUUCUUGAGCCAUUUGAGAGUGAAGUUACUGACAUGGUGCUCUGUCACUUCCGAAAUACUUUGGUGUGUAAUUCCUACAAACAAGGAUGCUCUUACAUAACCACAUUCCAGUCAUCAAACCCAGGAAAUUAAUAUUCAUAUCAUCAAUACCAACUAAUCUUUAGACAUAUAAUCAUUAGCUUUCUAUGUUUUCUUAUUAUAUUAGUCCCCACAGAGAUUUAUAUAACAAAUCUCCCAUAUCCCCAUCCUCCUCUAAAUGGGUCUCCUCCUCGCUCCAUGUAGGCUCUGGCAUUCCACAUGAAUGGCCCCUUUGUGCCAAAACCCAACUCACCGUAAUCAGCUGGUUCUGACAAAUUGCACCAGCCUGCCCCCCUGUAAAGGGCGUUGUCUCCCGACUUGAGCUCCAAUACCAGCUACUAGGUCAGCCCCUUGUGUGAACCUGCUCAGCCAACUUGGGCAUCCACUCCCUUCUCUGGGCUUCCAUCCUCACCUCACAUGUGUUCUGACACCCCACGCCAUGCAGCCUAGUGCAGGGUGUCCAGGCUAAUGUGUGGUGAGUAAGGUGUCCACACAGGAGGGAGGCCUGUCAUGAGCACCUUCUGCACCCCACACAGGCACGGCUUGAACACCUCACUCUGGUUCACUGUGGCUCCCAUUCCAGAGUGACCAUUGACAUUGUGCUUUGUUUUUUUUUUAACUAAAGUUCUUUUGCUUUUUAAGAGAAUUGGGAUCAACACGUUUAGAACCAACAGUAUUUUCAAUUCCAUGACUCUCUCUUCUUUUUCCAUUAUAGGGAGAUAAUCAAGGGAACUCGUUUAGAGAAUGGUACCAGGAUAUCAGAAAUGUCGUUCUCUGGGCAGUGGUGUGAGAAUAAUGCUUUGGCUCCCUGGCAUCCGUUCCCAUUUCACGUGGUAUCAGUAGUUCACUGAGGAGAAUAACUUAGGGGAGAACCAACCACCUUCCAUUCUCAGGACACAGGAUUUGGACAGAGCAGACUCUAGCCGAUCAAAGGCUGGGACCUAAGCUGAGACAGAUCAGAACCUCUGACCAACUCUACAGGCAGCUAGAGCAGUGUGACAGAUUCUGCUUUGCUGGGACGGCCUCUGUAUAUCUCCCAUCCCACAGGCUCUUCUUAAAGGACUGUAACACUCCUCCCACUCACAGGCUGGGUUUUUGACCAUUUUUCUUAAUUGGGGCUGAGGAGGAGCUUUUGAUGGCACCAAGCAGUGAAAUACGGUAGAAGUGAUGCAGUAAGACUUCAAAGUCUGGGUAAUAAAAAGAACACAGCUUCUGUCUAGCUUGCUUUUUGGGAGAUGCUCACUCUGGGGAAAGCAACCAUCAGGUUGUGAAGAAGACCCGAUAUUCCCAUGACAGAGGCUACUUGAGAGGCCCUCACGGAGAGGAAGGGAUGUGCCUAGUGGACAGCCAGCAUCAACCACUGGGCACAUGUGAGCGAGCCUUCAGGUGAUUCUGGCCUCUGGGCAUCAAGCCUCCGCUGACACCAAGGAGAGCAGAGGGGAGUUAUCCACACUAAACCCAGAGCAAAACGCAGAUUCGUGGGCAAAAUCACUGUGGUUGUUGUUGUUUUAAAUCACUCAGUGCUUUAGGAAUGGAACAAGCCCUCUUCAGCCAUGGCCACCCCUUCUGUCCAUCCAUCUAAGCAUCAUCCUCACCACCCUUGUCUGAUCACUGACGGUUUUGCCUCCUCCACUAGAAGCAAGGAAUCUCAUCUCAAUACCCACAAGUCUCAAAUAGAACGGGGCCUCCAUAAAUGAUCAUCCUCAAUAAUGAGGUUCAAAGAGAGCCAAGGAAAUGAAGACAGUGUUGGAUCUAUCAUCACAAGACUCAGGUUGCUGAGGCUCAGGGACCGGCUACUGGCUGAUCAACAUCUCCAACCACCCCACGUGUAGCCGGCAGUUCCUGCUUUCUGUGAGUAUGGUCAGCACUGAGACAAGAGCUACAAGUGCUGGUGUGGUGACUGAUAAGCUCUUGUUCCACUCAGGCCCGAGGACUUGAUCAGAUGGCAGUGUGAGGCAUUCAGAGGGAAACUUAUGUGAUAACGGCCACAAAACUGAGGAGACCCUUGGAGUUAGACAAGGAGUAAGCAUCAGCCACUGUGACCUGGGCUGCCUUCCUAGGGACAGGGGCCACUGCCACUCCUGGUGGCAUUUCUUCUGUCCUACAGGGGAGAGUCAGGUGAGUGACUGUCCCCACCAACAGAGGCCCAGCAUCAUCCCACACAGGCUCAGUCCUGCUCAGAUGCUGCACUCAGACACAUCCUGGUGCUGGUCCGUCCAAGGAACUUUCUGAACUCCAGGUCCAACCUCCCUCAAACACCAGCAAAUCUGAUGCAUAAUGAAAACUCAGCAGGGCGGAACACUGUUCCCUACAAGGGCUAGUGGGUGUUGUUUUUCCCCAGGUCGUACUCUUGUCAUCUGGAAAGUGGGUUCUUUUACAAAGUCCUCUGGAAGGAGAUUGGAAGCUGGGAAUGAGAAUUAAUUAAUUCUCGAAGAAAGGGCAGCUUGGAGAAAGGGGCUGGCUUCUGAAAUCAAAGUAGGGCCCACUAGCUUUCCAACUCAAUGUCCUAAAACAUAUCGUCCAAUUCCAUUCCCUUCUCAAAGCUUUGUCACUCCCAUGCUGCCCAGUAAAGAAGCGAAGUAUCCAGUUGAUCCCAGAGCUGGCAGCAUCCCAAUUCCCUGAACACUGAUGUUCGGCUGGUUCACUCUCAAGUUCUCUCUGGUAAUUUUUCAGUCAAUGGGCACAGCAGCUUUGGCAGCUCUAUCUUGCCUGCUGCUCAGAACCCUACCAGGACUAUCCCAACCUACCCCCCUCAGAGGCUAACUGGGAGCCAUUCCUUUGGGCAGACAAGACAUUUAGUGGGCACCUACGACCUAUCAGGCUCAAGCAGAUACAGAGCAAACACAGCCCAGCAUCUUGAGCUCAUGUUCCGAACAUUACAGACCAGCAGACCAGUGAGGUCUGGAAAAGAAGAGAGGGGAGAGGACUCAGAGAACAUCAGGGAAAGGAUUUUCCAGGAUCCACCAGACCUUCAACGCUUGUUCCAAACACCAUUCCUGUCUGCCACCCAUGUGCCUGCAGCAGGAAUUAAGGAAUGAGGGCUGCUCUUCUCUUUGUCAGAGAGAGAAUCUGAGUAUGGAGGGUCUUAGGCAACGAGGAUCGCCACUCCAGGAACGCACAGGACACCCUACUUGGUUGGUGCUGGAUACUGCAGACCCCACUAUCUGUCACCCCAACUCCUUCCGCCCUGCUCUCCUUUGUCCCCAUCUCCCUGCUCAAGCCUGUGACUCCAUGAGCUCAGCAAGCAUGGUAGAAUUUUCUUCCAGGGAAAACAAUCAGGGGCCAUGAGGACAAUCCUUAUUCUUGUCACUAUCUGGCAUUUCUUCUGAUCCAGACUCCAGAGAAAAGAAAAAGCUACGAGGGGUUUCCUUGUGUGUGAGGACUUUGUGCUGACAGCAGCCACUGGCUACUGAGGAAGGUGAGGAGCAGCUGUGGCCCCACCCUUCUGCCCACACUUCACAGAGAACUGCCUUCUCAGGGGCUACAGAGCUGGGCCACAUAGUAACACAGAAGAGCCCUUCAGAGGACAGGGAAGCUUUGGGGAGAGAGGAACAGGUCAGUUCAAGGGGCCUGUUGAAGAGACGGGCUGGUCAAAGGCGCCAUCGGGAGGAGGCUGAGAUCGUGCUCCAUGCCCAGAGUGCACAGGGGAGAAAUUCAAAGUUUUGCUAAGAGAAAGGCAAGCUCUGCAUCUGACUGAACACCCAGAAUCUGCUCCAGGAACUGCCACUCAGCAUGGAACGCCAAGAAGCAGAGGACACGGAGAUGCUCAGCCCCAGGGCCCCACCCCUGUAAUUCCUCCUCACUCCAGUCCUGCCAUGUCCCAAGCCUUCCUGCCUCCUUCAUGGCUCCUGGGGUGCAUCUCCUGUGACUGCACGUCCCACUCUGCUCUGUGCAGCUUAACCCACUUCUCCCUGAGCCUCCACAACAUCCAGGAGCAGGAAGAACCCAGCAGGUCAUCCCUGUGAGAGGAACCAUCCCCCACCCAGACUACAAGCCUAGGAAUUUCUCCAAGGACAUUGUGUCACUAAGGGUAGGGCACGUUGCUCCACUGGUUCUUGCACACUUUAAUCCUGAGGUUUUGCAUCCCCCACGACCUCAUUCCUGUCCCUCCUUCCCAGCAUGACCCUUUCACUUGUCUCAGGGCUGUGGAGAAGGCAACCCCAUGACGGUCCCUGGAGUUUUUGUGAAUUACUUUCCUCUGCCCUGAGCUUGAAGAGGAAGGCCAACCUCACUGCCUCUGUGAGCCCCUUCAGGCUGCCCAGGAGGAGAGAGCUGGCAAAGCCAGGGAUAUUGUGCAGUGUGGCUGACUGGGAGCACCUUGGUGGGAACACUCCCUAGGCCAUAAAACUGCGGGAAGUAGAGCUUGAUAUCCAAAGGGAUGAGUAACACAUCUCUCACUACAAAGGCCACUAUAACACAGUCAGCCAGAUAUGUGUGGGGGACCCAACAAGAGGAAGACUCUUUUUAAGGUGAGAUCCCCAGCACUGUCCAUGCUCAGCGUGGGGUACAGCCAAGCUUGAGGAGAUCUGGGGCAGAGGGAACGAGCUAUAUCCUUAUGUACUCAGCCUUGUCACCAACUCAGUCUGUGGUCCUGUUACCCUGCAGGCAUAGGAGACUCUACCACAGCCACUUACAGUUAAAGUCUUCCUGGGUAGGAGAAGAAGGGAAUCAUCAGGGCCAGGCUGGGGCUCCAGAACUGAGGAAGGCCACAAAGGCUGUCCUGACCCACAUCUCACUACCAGCCCCCAAACAGGGACCACUUAACAGCAGGGCAUAAGGGAGGGGAGAAGCGGGAGAAGACCCAGCCCAGCCCCUCCUCCCCUGCCCACAGGAGGAGCCCAGUGGCUCCCUUGUAUGGAACAAGGUGGCCCAGGACAUUGUCUCCUUUGGAAAAAAGAAUGGGAAACAUUCACCUGUCUACACCAGGACCUUGAGCUUUCUACCCUGAGGAAAAACUGCCUCCAGGAUUGAUCCAUCUGUCUUCUCUGGGGCAGAAGCCAGCAAAGCACUGGGUAGAGCAGGAUGGAGAGGAGACUGCCAGGGACUUACUAAACUUCCAUCCUUAGAGUGGAAAUCAUUAAUUCUUUCUUUAUUCACCAAAAUGUCCUAGAGCCUAUAGCAUAUUGAGCAAAUUUUUCAACAAUCUCUGAAUCUUGUAUAUAAGAAUGGAUUAAGAAAAUUAAACUCAUUUUUAAAAUAUCCACCUUAGAGAAGGCUAGACUAGAAAGAAAUGGUAUGCUAAAUGCUUGCCAUUGAUGAGUGUGCUUCAACUACAGGAAAAUGUUUUCUGGGUAGAAAAGUAAUACAUGUUCAUCAUAGAAAGAAAGUUAAAGGAAGAAUAGACAAACAAGAAUGUUAAAAUUCCCAAGAAUUUCACCUCCCCCAGAUCAUCAUCAUUAGUGCUUAAGCACGUUGCCUUCCCCUCUUUUUCUGUGUCUUCAUAAUGUUCCAUUGUUUUAACAGAAUUGGGAUUGGGCUGUUUAGAAUUCAUAAUGUCUUCUUUUCCACUACUCUCUCAUCUGUCAUCAUUCUGGAGAGGAUGUUGGGAUAAUCUGUUGGCAAAUGCUUCUGUUAGGUCCAGGCACAUCAGAGCCAUGAUUCACUGGACCCGGGACAGAGAGUACUUAGUGGAUAGUGAUUAUUAGGAUGAUCGGCAUCCAUUUCCCCAUCAGCUGUCACCAGGAACCAGCAUUUCUCAAGGGGAACUCCCUCCUCAGAAAACAGACACUCUGACUGAGGUGGAACAAUCCCCCCUUCAGGUCCAGGGGUGCUCAAUGACUCAAGAAUAAACCACUUAGGCAUUGAAUUCUGAUGGACUCAAUGAUGGUUUGUUUUGGUCCCAUGAAUAUCAAGUCCAGGAUUUCACUCAAAACUGUGGGAUAAAGAAAUCUCUCUUUGUCACAGAAUAUUUGCAUUUAAAGAGGGGAUUCUAAAUAUUCCAAAACAUGAGGCUGGACUUGUGGUCAGAGAGGCAGUGAGGUUACCACCAGGGAUCUCUGUGUGUCCAGCUCUACAUGCUCCUAGGGCAGGUCCAGGCUCCAUCUCCCACCACCAAGCAGACCCCCACCACAGCCCUUACUGGCCUACACUCUAACCACAGAUUCUCAGUCUACUCAAGGCGACCGCCAUCUUCUCAAGGGCAGGAGCCAUCUCACUCAUCUCCUUGGACCUAGAUUCCUAAAUAGUUAUUCAUGACUUCAACAGGAUGGAAAAAGAGCCAAGAGCUGAGAAACGGAGACAUUCUAGAUUCAGUCACUGAGGGGCUUCUGGGAUCCAGCUCCUCUGCUGGCUGCAGCACAGGCUUCACUUUCUUGUUCUUUCUUCUUGAUUUCACCUUGUGACUUGGGAGUGCAAGUGUGGUUGGUGGCAGUGCUACUGUCACCUAAGACAAUCCAGAGAACUUUGACAAACCGCCUUGCAGAUGACACAAGAAAACGAGAAGAGCACAGGUCUAGGAGGUCUGUGAAGUCUUGAGCCACCACUCCUGCCUUCACCUUGGGGACCUUGUGUCUGGAAAGAAGUAACACCAGCAGCUGUGACCUUGGCAGACCUUCAGGAAAGAUGCAGCCACUCCUGCUAUUGUUAGCAUUUCUGCUGCCUCCUAAGACUGGGACAGGAGUGUGACCAUCCCCAUUCCAGAAACCCCAGCCCACCUAACAAAACCCUCUGGACUCCUCACCCUUCUGCCCAGCACAGUCAGGGAUUUUCCUCAGUUUGAGCCCAAGAACUUUCUAGAUGCCAGCCUCUAUCCCAAACCUACACUAAGUCGUCCAAUGCUGCAUAGACACUCAAAAAGGAUGGCAGGAAAGAAGGUCGUUCACUAGAAGGUUUAGUGUAUAAGCUUCUCUCUUAUCACCUGGGAAGUGGGUUGUUCAUAGAAAGGCAUUUGGCAGACGACAUGAAGCUACAAAUGACAAGUAGUUAAAAUCCUUCACUCCAACCCAAGAAAGGGCUGCUCAGAAAAAUCGGGUGUGGUAAUGAGAGUUGUCCUGGACCCAACUUAAGAUUCAGUUUCAUUUCCUGGUAACUUCACCCCCUCACCCCCGCUGAGGAGAGAAACCCAGGGAGCAGCUGAUCUCUGAAGGGGCUGGAUCACUAGAUGCAGGGCGCCCUGUUGCCAUGGCUCUGCCACGGUCCUGGGCAGCACAAUUUCAGCCCCACCUCCACCUGCCAUCUCAGGCCUUCAGCUGCUCCACACAGUGUCCCAUCUGCAGGCCAAUGGCCUUCAAUUCCACCAUCAGGAUCCCCACCAAACCUCAGCAGAAAGCUAAGUGAAGGACAUUCAUUCACGCAGCCACACAAUGUUUACUGAGAUGCUAGGGCGGGUUAGAUACUCGGGCAUGAGGAUUGUAGAAAACCCAGCACCAUAAGCUCACAGAUAGAUUAUUAGAUACGGGCACCAGUUGAGAGAUUAGUAGAGGCUCAGAGGGGUUGGGAGAUGCACUGAGACAGAAGGCAUAGCAGAGCCCCAUCCACGAUCCCCUGGGCUCCACCAUCGUGAAGACAGCUCUGAUCUCCUACAUGCAUGGUCUGAAGUAGGACAGGGAAAACAAGCACUGUCCUCCCUUUUCUCACAGGAGAUUCUGAGGCUUGACAUUCAGAAAAUGUUCUUCUCUUGCUAGGAGAACCUGGGAGGACACUCCCCGGUGGCAGCAGGGCACUAUAGACCCCACCCUCAAUCACCACCUUCGAGAGCCUUCCCUCCUGACCCCAGCUGCUCCCAGAAAGCCCAUCUUCCAGUCUUUUCUUUCAGAGAACAUCAUCGGAGGACAUGAGGCCAAGCCCCACUCCCGCCCCUACACGGUGUUUGUUCAGUUUCUGCUUGAGAACAAAAAGAAGAGGUGUGGCGGUGUCCUCGUGCUAGAGAACUUUGUUCUGAUGGCUGCUCACUGCCGGGGAAGGGGGACUCCGGAGGCCCCCUCAUCUGCAACAAGCUGAACCAGGGUAUUUUCUCCUAUGGACAAAACAACGGGACCCCUCCAGGAGUCUUCAUGAAGGUCUCACACUUUCUGCCCUGGAUAAAGUCAACAAUGAAGCGCUUCUAACAGCAGGCAGGAGGCUGACCUUCCUCUGUGCCUGACCAUCUUUCCUGGGGCAGAGGCAGGACUCCCAUGGGGCGGGCAGUGGGACUGAGGGGCCAUAAUAAAUGGAUCUCUAGCGAGUGUGA